rnacentral:ncRNA from 1 species
UACUUGUAUCAGGAUAGACACCCUAUAUUACAUCCUUUUAGGGUGCGAACCUUGCUUAAACCAUGGAUGAACGCGAAAAGCUAUUUAUUAGUCCUACAAUUGAUCGAAACGAAAGUUGUGCAAUAACUUUGGAGCAGAUAUUAUAUAUGUUUUAUAGGAUAAAGAAAUAUAUACAUACCGAUAGCAUGGGGCACGUGGAAUCCCGUGUGAAUCAGCAAGGACCACCUUACAAGGCUAAAUAUUCCUGGGUGACCGAUAGCGAAGUAGUACCAUGAGGGAUGGGUGAAAAGAACCCUCAUCGGGGAGUGAAAUAGAACAUG